UUGUAAUGAAUGACCAUAUUCGUAAGCAGUGAAGGAAAAGUACAUCACUACACGCUUUUCGGAACUUUACACCCGGCGGAAAAAAACCGGAAACGAGCAAUAUUUCCGGCACCGACAAAGUUGUUCCGUUGCUAGCGUCGGCAAAAUUACUCCGUUGCCGGCACCGGCAGGCUAAACUGUAUUUAUUGAAAAUAAACCUUUGGCUAAAAGGCCUAAAAAGAAUUAACAAAUAAAGAAGACAAUUGUUUAACAAUUAAUCAAAAUUAGAGUGAAGAGACUUUUCAGAGUUGAAGGGAAGUCCUGGAAGAAGAUUGAGUACAGAAAACUUUGAUGAAAUGUCGGCUACGACAAAGAGACGCAGAUUGAUAACCAUGGAAGAAACUUAUUCGGCAAUCGAUAUUCAAGAAGCAUUUCUCCGAAUAUUAAGAACGACUGGAAACACAAAAAUUUAACAGUGCAGUUAAUGAAGUAGAAUGCUGCUCUCCAGCAGAAGCUUUAACUUUAAUGGAAGAUGCCAAGUUAUCCAAGUAUCAAUACAAUAACAUUUAAUUUCGGGUACCAGUGAUCCCAGAUCUAAAACGAGAUGUGGUCCAAUACU